CCAAAACCACAAUCACAGACAGAUUAUAGCAACAUCCAAAUUAUCUUCAUUUAUCACAUCUUUCAUUCAUUUAUCCCCCCCGACACUCGCACAUACUGUACCACACAAGACUGUAAGGUACUCAGUAGAUUGAAGAUAGCUUAAACAUCUUAAAAUGGGUUUAUCUGUUUACCCUACUAUUUACUUUAAUGUGGGGCUGCUGUGAAGUCCCCAUCAUGGCACAUUUAGUCAACCUAUUGGGAGUACCCUACCACUGUCAAUGCAAUGUUUCGCUGUGGCCACCAGAGGUCCCCUGCUGAGUUUACAGAGAGGGUUCUGAAGCAGUUCUGCAUGCUGUCCUGUCCAGUUACCUCGGUUCAUAUCCAACGUUAAACUGCAACCCCGCAACCUGCUACAUAUCUCUGAGACGGAGCUCUUCUACAUCUCUACAGCACAGCCAUGGCCACCACAGAAACAAUGUUUACAGACCGAAGUGACUUUGAUUAUGUUCCAGCUCAUCUGGAAGCCAAAUUCCACCAAAGACAGAGGUGCCUCCUCAAACAGUAUAGAAAAUAAUGUAUCAAAAGCGAGGAAGUCGAUACGGGAACCACGGCAGCAAAUACAUACCCAGACACACCGGUUGUUUAUAGCAAUCCCUGUUAUGGCUAAUAUACUUCUGCCAGCUGGAUGAGCAAUAAACAGGGUUUUCCAAUGCAUCUUUAUCUGGUUUCUUUUAGGCUCCCAAUGUUUUCUGUAGAAUGUCUCAAAAUAAGGGGGUGAAAUAUCUGUCUACACAUUGCUCAGAAUUGUGUGAGUGUUGAAAUUAAAAUAAAAAAACUAAGAAAAACAAAUGCUCCCAACCAUGAGACUUGAUUUGGUACUUUUAAUCAAACAAAUGCAACAAGUGUUGUAUCUCUUCCUUACAUGUUACUCCUGUAAAACAAUUAAAUUAAGAGCAUGAUUAAAUAUUUAUAUACAAAAUCUGCAGCUCGAAACAAAGAAUAGCAUGUGUUGAUCGAUCGUAACAAUUGUCUUUUGCCUUUUAUUUUUCUUUAUUUCUGUUGAUAUCUACUUGUUUAGCAUGGCAGAAUAAUGAAAAACCCCAAAAUAGAAUAGGCCAAAUAUAACAUGCUAAAAGGAAAUAGCUGGUAUCUUGAUGAAAAUAUUCAGUAGCCUAAUGUAUUUUGUUUUAUUUACAAGCUUUGAAAAUAUUCAAAUGAAUGAAAUGUGUAUUUGUUUUCCUAUUCGUCAUUUAUUUUCUGUUUAAACCUAUUGCAAAGGUAUUACAAAUGAUGUUAUUACCUGUAAAGCUGAACAAUGAGGCAACUGUUUCAAAUAAAGGUCUCCUCGACAUGA